rnacentral:rRNA from 1 species
UACCGAGUUAUACAACUCAUCAACCCUGUGAACAUACCUAUAACGUUGCCUCGGCGGGAACAGACGGCCCCGUAACACGGGCCGCCCCCGCCAGAGGACCCCCUAACUCUGUUUCUAUAAUGUUUCUUCUGAGUAAACAAGCAAAUAAAUUAAAACUUUCAACAACGGAUCUCUUGGCUCUGGCAUCGAUGAAGAACGCAGCGAAAUGCGAUAAGUAAUGUGAAUUGCAGAAUUCAGUGAAUCAUCGAAUCUUUGAACGCACAUUGCGCCCGCCAGUAUUCUGGCGGGCAUGCCUGUUCGAGCGUCAUUACAACCCUCAGGCCCCCGGGCCUGGCGUUGGGGAUCGGCGGAAGCCCCCUGCGGGCACAACGCCGUCCCCCAAAUACAGUGGCGGUCCCGCCGCAGCUUCCAUUGCGUAGUAGCUAACACCUCGCAACUGGAGAGCGGCGCGGCCACGCCGUAAAACACCCAACUUCUGAAUGUUGACCUCGAAUCAGGUAGGAAUACCCGCUGAACUUAAGCAUAUCAAUAAGCGGAGGAAAAGAAACCAACAGGGAUUGCCCCAGUAACGGCGAGUGAAGCGGCAACAGCUCAAAUUUGAAAUCUGGCUCUCGGGCCCGAGUUGUAAUUUGUAGAGGAUGCUUUUGGUGAGGUGCCUUCCGAGUUCCCUGGAACGGGACGCCAUAGAGGGUGAGAGCCCCGUCUGGUUGGACACCGAUCCUCUGUAAAGCUCCUUCGACGAGUCGAGUAGUUUGGGAAUGCUGCUCUAAAUGGGAGGUAUAUGUCUUCUAAAGCUAAAUACCGGCCAGAGACCGAUAGCGCACAAGUAGAGUGAUCGAAAGAUGAAAAGAACUUUGAAAAGAGAGUUAAAAAGUACGUGAAAUUGUUGAAAGGGAAGCGCUUGUGACCAGACUUGGGCUUGGUUGAUCAUCCGGGGUUCUCCCCGGUGCACUCUUCCGGCUCAGGCCAGCAUCAGUUCGCCCUGGGGGAUAAAGGCUUCGGGAAUGUGGCUCUCUCCGGGGAGUGUUAUAGCCCGCUGCGUAAUACCCUGUGGCGGA